AUUGAACGCUGGCGGCAGGCCUAACACAUGCAAGUCGAGCGGAUGAAGGGAGCUUGCUCCUGGAUUCAGCGGCGGACGGGUGAGUAAUGCCUAGGAAUCUGCCUGGUAGUGGGGGAUAACGUCCGGAAACGGGCGCUAAUACCGCAUACGUCCUGAGGGAGAAAGUGGGGGAUCUUCGGACCUCACGCUAUCAGAUGAGCCUAGGUCGGAUUAGCUAGUUGGUGGGGUAAAGGCCUACCAAGGUGACGAUCCGUAACUGGUCUGAGAGGAUGAUCAGUCACACUGGAACUGAGGCACGGUCCAGACUCCUACGGGAGGCAGCAGUGGGGAAUAUUGGACAAUGGGCGAAAGCCUGAUCCAGCCAUGCCGCGUGUGUGAAGAAGGUCUUCGGAUUGUAAAGCACUUUAAGUUGGGAGGAAGGGCAGUAAGUUAAUACCUUGCUGUUUUGACGUUACCAACAGAAUAAGCACCGGCUAACUUCGUG
rnacentral:rRNA from 1 species